rnacentral:rRNA from 1 species
GACGAACGCUGGCGGCGUGCUUAACACAUGCAAGUCGUGCGGUAAGGCCCUUUCGGGGGUACACGAGCGGCGAACGGGUGAGUAACACGUGAGCAACCUGCCCUUCACUUUGGGAUAACUGCCGGAAACGGUGGCUAAUACCGGAUAUGACUUCCUCACGCAGGGGGGGUGGUGGAAAGCCUUCGGGUGGUGGGGGAUGGGCUCGCGGUCUAUCAGCUUGUUGGUGGGGUGAUGGCCUACCAAGGCUUCGACGGGUAGCCGGCCUGAGAGGGUGACCGGCCACACUGGGACUGAGACACGGCCCAGACUCCUACGGGAGGCAGCAGUGGGGAAUAUUGGACAAUGGGCGAAAGCCUGAUCCAGCAACGCCGCGUGAGGGAUGACGGCCUUCGGGUUGUAAACCUCUUUCGCCUGCGACGAAGCGAGAGUGACGGUAGCAGGUAAAGAAGCACCGGCCAACUACGUG